rnacentral:lncRNA from 1 species
CUUUCUGUGUCAGGAGGAAGCAACAGGACCCUGGCACCGAACAGACCUCACACUUCCCUCAUGCCACUUGUUUACCGACCGGGGAAUAGGGAAAAUGAGGUCAAGGAGCCUCUGGCUGCUGCUUCCCUCUUUCCCAGGCCCAGGUGACCUGGGAGAUGAUCGUCAGAAGCAGAUACCAUCAUCCACUGCCUUGGUGCCUGUGAGACUCAAACUGACAUGUGAUAUCAGAGGGGUUCUGCUGAAACCCCCUGUUAUCCUUCUGAGAGUGGCAAGCUUAGAAGUCUAAAAAGAUAUAGAUUUUCAUAUCCAAACUAAGAGGGGUAUUCUAGAAAAACACAGGUUAUAUUUUUCAUAGAACCAAUUUUUGCCUUUCACUUUGAUCAAGCAACUAGCAGCCCAAGCCCUAACUCUCUGGUUUCUUAGUUCUUUUCGCAGCCUCACUUUACAGAUAAGGUCAACUGAGGCUCAGAGGGAUUAAGUGACUCAUUUCAGGUCCCACAGCUGGUAAAUUGUAUAGUCCAGGAUUGCAAGCCAAGAUUUUUGGUUGUCUUUACCCAUUGGUGGCCUUUUUGGAUGAAUACAUCACCAAAACAUUUUUAGGCUUAUUUGUUAUUUUAAGAGAGAUGCUUGAAGAAGACCGAAACUUCCUAAAAUGAAGAGAGGCUGAAUCCCGGUUAGGAAAACCAGCACGUAUUUAUGAGAUUCUAAGCAAAUUAUCUGUCUCUGUCGGACACCAACAGAUCACUAUUGUCAAGGCUCCACAGAGAUAAACACCCCCCUCCAAAUGAACAAAACAAAGGCCUGCUCAUCACCUUUGGAACACAUUGCUUUCUUUAGACCAUGAUUGUACCUGAGCUCCUGAGAACUUACCUCUCAGAAGAAAGAAUGAAGACAGCUCACAAGAUUCCACUCUAGAAGAAGAUACUACUGCAAAGAAAAUAUUUGACCAAGACUUUCCAGGCAUCUUCCUUGUCACGAGAGCACUGAAACAGCCCUACAGAGAGGUGUACAUGGGGAAGAGCAGAGGCCUCCUGCCAACCCCAGACAUCAACUAUCAUCAUGUAAGUAAGCCCUCUUGGAAGUGGAUCCUCCAACCCUAGUCAAGCCUUCAGACAACUGCAGCCCAGCUGACAUCUUGACUGCCACUUCCUGAGACAUCCAAGCCGGAACUGCCCAGCUGCGCUGCAUCGGGAUUCCUGACCAAUAGAUAUGUGAAAUAAUAAAUGAUUUUGUUUGUUUGUUUUAAACUGCUAAAUUUUAGGGUAAUUUGUUAUGUAGCAACAGAAAACUAAUCCACUCAGGUAGGCAUUUAAACCCAAUAUUCAGAGAACCAGUGUUUAUACAUUUUUCAGGGUCAGUAAAUGCAAGAAGGCUUCACUUUUAUCCCUGUGAUAGGCAUUUAUUGGUUUUUUGUGACUUCCUGGAGUUUGCUCUCGCUUCCUUUAUAUUUGUGAAUUCUCUACUUUCCGGGUCUUGGCAAAAGGCAGAGCAUUUCCUUCCUCCCUAGACCCAGAAAAUGCAAGACACUCACUCUGCCGGUUCCUCAGGCAACCGUUUUACAAGUACCCCAGGCAUGAUUUGUCAGGCACCCUUGCCCAUAGUGAUGGUGGUAGUGCAAGCUAUGCCAUCCACCGUUGUCCACUGUGGUGGACAGCAGGGCCUUUCCUCAUUAGACUGGUUUGUUCCUGCCCAUUUCCCAAUACUGGUUUUCCAGAGAUGGAAAUUCUAAAUAAAUUUCUUUUGGGCUUGAGUGAUCAUUUACUGUAUGCAUACUGCACCAUGGUGGGUGCAAUGCAGAUCACAAGGGCAUCACAUACAGCAAAGGCUGCUGUCGAUAGGACCUGCCUGAGAGAGAGAAUUGUCUCAUUCUAGCCAAUUGAAUCUGUCUUAAAAGGCACAACUUAAUUGACAGGGAGAAACUGAGUCAUGACAGGGAAAUAAAAAGGUUAAAAGACACAGUCUUUUCAAGCUAAACCAUUAUAGGUGUGCAUCAGCGCACCAGGAUUUUGAGAUCCUCAAACACUGGUGAUUUAUAAAUAAACUAUUUUUCAAAAUCUAGGUCUUUCCCUUCAGUAGCUUUAUAAUUACAUGUUUAUUAACUUACUAAAAUUUAUUUCAAACCAUUCAAGAACUUCAAGAAACAGGAGGCAUCAAGAAAUGAAAAACAAAAUUAAUUUUAAUGCCAUACUAAUUAAAGCAAGGACACGUAGAAAAUGAAAUUUAACUCAUACACAACUUAACAUACUUGGAAUUGAAACUAGCUAUCAAAGUAUGAGACAGUCAUAAAUAUCAGAUUUUUACACUGCUUUCCUAAAUAGUUAAAAAGGCAUAUCCAUGACAGAACUAGGAUUUAAUGUUGCAUCUUUCUCCUCAUAUGCCUUUGAUUAAUUCUUGAAUGACAAAUUCUCGUAAAUGUAGCAUUUUUAGGCUGGUAGACAAA